GACGAACGCUGGCGGCGUGCUUAACACAUGCAAGUCGAACGGAAAGGCCUUUUCGGAGGUACUCGAGUGGCGAACGGGUGAGUAACACGUGGGUGAUCUGCCCUGCACUCUGGGAUAAGCCUGGGAAACUGGGUCUAAUACCGGAUAGGACCGCACUUUAGUGUGUGUGGUGGAAAGUUUUUUCGGUGUAGGAUGAGCCCGCGGCCUAUCAGCUUGUUGGUGGGGUAAUGGCCGACCAAGGCGGCGACGGGUAGCCGGACUGAGAGGUUGGUCGGCCACAUUGGGACUGAGAUACGGCCCAGACUCCUACGGGAGGCAGCAGUGGGGAAUAUUGCACAAUGGGCGCAAGCCUGAUGCAGCGACGCCGCGGGGGGGAUGACGGCCUUCGGGUUGUAAACUCCUUUCGCCAGGGACGAAGCGUUUUGUGACGGUACCUGGAGAAGAAGCACCGGCUAACUACGUG
rnacentral:rRNA from 1 species